GAGCCGUGACCCAUUCAUACGAGAGUGUAUUCCCCUCUUUAAUGUAUAUACAAUGUCUUGUGGUUCUCGCGAGAUCGUAUAUAAAUAGAGACCUACUGGUCUAGUUACACACCUCAUCAUCCAACCAACGAAGAAUAUAAUCACUAUAUACAAUCAUGAAGUACUCUGUGGCUAUUUUCACCGCUGUCAUCUCCGCUACCAUUCUCAUCAGCUGUGCUGACGUUCUGCACGCCCAACAGGUGAAGGAGCCAACUUGUGGUCCAGGUUUCGACCUGGUAACUAUCAAUGGAGAGUGCAAGUGCAGGUGCAGGACAACUAAUUGGUGUCCCAGUGGCCAGCUAUGGGACUCUGACAUCUGUGCCUGUAAACCCAUAUGCACAACGUCGUGUACCUCCCCUAAGGAACUGAACAGUAAUUGUCAGUGUGUCUGCCCAUCCAUGACAUGUCCUAGACUGUACCUUCCUAAUGCCAGCACAUGUAGAUGUGAAAAAAUAUGCUUUGGUUCCGUGGGCAUCUGUCCCCCCCAAUGAUCAGCUUGUGUCAUCUGUACUGAAUGAGUGAACUUGAUUAAUUGCAAAACGUAUAGAAAGAACGAACUUUUAAUUAGCCGGCUGCUUAGUAUUUCGAAUAGACUAUCGUAAUGUUGUAUAUUGUAUGACAUGUAUAUACAUGCAUGUAUGAAAUUCCGAAAUAUUUUUAUGCUCAUACAAAAUGGUGAUACUGUAAUAAACUUUGCAUAGCAUACAA